rnacentral:rRNA from 1 species
UAAGGAAUAUUGGUCAAUGGAGGCAACUCUGAACCAGCCAUGCCGCGUGCAGGAAGACGGCCCUCUGGGUUGUAAACUGCUUUUAUUCGGGAAUAAACCUGCUUACGUGUAAGUAGCUGAAUGUACCGAAGGAAUAAGGAUCGGCUAACUCCGUGCCAGCAGCCGCGGUAAUACGGAGGAUCCAAGCGUUAUCCGGAUUUAUUGGGUUUAAAGGGUGCGUAGGCGGCCUGUUAAGUCAGGGGUGAAAGACGGUAGCUCAACUAUCGCAGUGCCCUUGAUACUGAUGGGCUUGAAUGGACUAGAGGUAGGCGGAAUGAGACAAGUAGCGGUGAAAUGCAUAGAUAUGUCUCAGAACACCGAUUGCGAAGGCAGCUUACUAUGGUCUUAUUGACGCUGAGGCACGAAAGCGUGGGGAUCAAACAGGAUUAGAUACCCUGGUAGUCCACGCCCUAAACGAUGAAUACUCGCUGUUGGCGAUACACAGUCAGCGGCUAAGCGAAAGCGUUAAGUAUUCCACCUGGGGAGUACGCCCGCAAGGGUG